rnacentral:lncRNA from 1 species
CAGGAUGAAGGCUUCUGAGCAGGAGAAGCUGUGGAACAGGCUGUGGCCUCCACAGUGGGUCAGAGCUGGAUGUCUGUAGACACACACUGGGAACAUCUGGAAACCAGAGCAAUCAAGGAAACAUUCACUAGAACAUGUAUCUUUUUCCUUUACAACCAUGGAUCUCAGUCCCAACACUUUCUUUGUGCCAGGAAUUGUAUCGCACAAUUAAGAUUCCCAGAGUGGUGAGAUGUCUAACAACAAUGGCAGAAAGAGCUGGUCCUGUUUUGUGGGGGAAGAGAGGUGGAUACAAACACCUAAGAACUGUCAAAGAGAAGGAGCAACACUUACAAAGAACUGGGGCCACUGUUAGCAGUUUCAGGGGCCCAGAGAUCAAUCCCACAUAUGGAAGAAGUUUCUUACCAUUAGAAUGACCCCAUAAUGAAGGCUGGGCGCGGUGGCUCAUGCCUGUAAUCUCAGCACUUUGGGAGGCCAAGGCUGGCAGAUCAACUGAGGUCAGGAGUUUAAAACUAGCCUGGGCAACAUGGUAAAACCCUGUCUCUACUAAAAAUACAAAAAUUAGCCAGGCAUGGUGGCACAUGCCUGUAGUCCCAGCUAUUCAGGAGGCUGAGGCAGGAAAAUAAUUUGAACUCCGGAGGCGGAGGUUGCGGUGAGCUGAGAUUGCACCACUGCACUCCAGCCUGGGCAACAGAGUGAGACCCUGUCUCAAAAGAAAAAAAGAAAAAGAAAAAGAAAGAACAACUCCAUAAUGCAAAAACAGGCUUGAUAAUUAGUGAAGUCCAUGUAACUAGAGGUUGCAAGGCUGAGGUCUUUGUCUGGAAUGCUGCAGAGAUGUAGUACUUGGAUAGCAGCUAGAUUAAAAACCUUUAAGUGACCUUCUAACCCUAGAUUCAUUGCUUCUAAAAAUAAUAAUAAUAACAUAAAUGAAUCACAUGAACAAGAUUGUAGCCAGGCACAGUGGCUCACAUCUGUAAUCCCAACACUUUUAGAGGCUAAGGCCAGAGGAUCGCUUGAGGCCAGGAGUUUGAGACCAGCCAGGCAACAUAGAAAGACCCCUUUUCUAUAAAAAGUCAAAAAAGUUAGUCAGGCAUUGUGACAUGCACCUG